rnacentral:rRNA from 2 species
UAGGGAAUCUUCGGCAAUGGACGAAAGUCUGACCGAGCAACGCCGCGUGAGUGAAGAAGGUUUUCGGAUCGUAAAACUCUGUUGUUAGAGAAGAACAAGGACGUUAGUAACUGAACGUCCCCUGACGGUAUCUAACCAGAAAGCCACGGCUAACUACGUGCCAGCAGCCGCGGUAAUACGUAGGUGGCAAGCGUUGUCCGGAUUUAUUGGGCGUAAAGCGAGCGCAGGCGGUUUCUUAAGUCUGAUGUGAAAGCCCCCGGCUCAACCGGGGAGGGUCAUUGGAAACUGGGAGACUUGAGUGCAGAAGAGGAGAGUGGAAUUCCAUGUGUAGCGGUGAAAUGCGUAGAUAUAUGGAGGAACACCAGUGGCGAAGGCGGCUCUCUGGUCUGUAACUGACGCUGAGGCUCGAAGGCGUGGGGAGCAAACAGG